rnacentral:lncRNA from 1 species
CUCUUCCAGGCACCUUCAUUCUUUGCAAAAUAGUGUUUAAUGGCAUCUUUUCUAUGGAAGCUACAUCCUUUCUAACUGCAGAAACGACCACCUCCUUCACACUAAACUUGUGUUUGCAGCCUAAUUUUGGUAUCUCUGAAUCAUGGCUUAUCACCUUUCCAAUUCCAAGCUCGGACUGGAGAGUUUUGAAUGGCAGGGCAUGUUUGUUCUCACAAUCUUCACCAAAACUUGGCUCCCCAAAGCCU